UCUCAUUCCCCCACUUCCGCUCCACCCCCAGAUCAUGAACCAGAGGAGUCCUCACAGCCCCCUACACCCGCUCCACUGCCGACCAUUACACCCCGGGCUCCGGGGUGGGUCCAGGCACAGCCAUCUGGGAGCUUCUGUGUGGUCCAGGGUGCAGCCACAGCGCUGAGAGUCACCCCAGAGCUUUCCCAGGGCCUCCAUGAGUCACAGCCCAGCCACAUCGACAGGAUCCCUACAGUCACAUCCGGGGUGCAGACUCCACAAGCGGGACAGCAGUGGCCCAGGCCAAAGGCAGGGACAGCCCCUCCUGUGCUCCACGGUGAAGCCUCAGACCCCACGCAUCCACUUGGACACACAGGAGCCCCACGCCACCCUGCUUCCCUCAUCAUUGUCACCAGAAGCAGGGACGAGCCCCCCAGGACCCACGUCCUGACUCAGGCCCUGAAGCCGUGACCGAGGGGCACCCACAGCCUCCCCAGGUUCCAGCAGCAGGGCUGAGCUGAGUCAGCAGCCACCCCGAGUUAAAAGGGCCUGGUCCCAGACCCCAGCACUUCCCUCCGGGAGAGGCGGCUGCCGCAGGCUGAGCGUGCCCAUGGGGCUCUGUGCCGCUCACCUGCCUCUCGCUGUGUUUGCCGUGGA